UGUGAUCUUCUAUAAUAUCGACAUCGUUAUUAUAAUGCGGUUAUCGAAUCUACGCCACAAGAGGAUUUUAAACUUGCGUGCGCUUGUGUGUGUUACAAUACACGCAAAGCUCGCAUUGAGUUGUCUCACGAGACAUAAACACGCGCUGUCGGGGUUGAUGACAUCGUUGAAUUUCAUGUGAGAUACAUGUCGUGCGCUGGUGUGUGUUAGCACACAUGCAAAGCAUAAUCAAUGACGUCACACGGCGUGAAGCAAACGCGUCGUGCGCUGCGUUGUGUGCGUUGUGUGCUGGUGUGUGUGACCAUACAAAGAAAGCUUUACAUCAGCGCGCCGUGGCCACUGGUGGAACCGACUGUUUCUUUGACGAAAGCUAAACUAACCGCUUACAAAAUGGCGCAAUAUGUCACGAAUUUAUCAUGCAUCAAGUUAUAUUUUCUUUAGUAUAAUAAUUACAUUCGUUUAGUUAAGCAACUUGUUUAUGAUAAUUGUAGAAAAGUGUAGAAAAAUGACACUUGCAUUAUAUCCUGGGAUGAAGAAACGUUAUUUUAUGUCGAUUUCUUUAGAUGACAAAGGAGGUAACCAAAUAGCAUA